GGCGACCUGCACAGGUGCUGCAUGGCUGUCGUCAGCUCGUGUCGUGAGAUGUUGGGUUAAGUCCCGCAACGAGCGCAACCCUUAUCCCUAGUUGCCAUCAGGUAAGCUGGGAACUCUGGGGAGACUGCCGGUGAUAAACCGGAGGAAGGCGGGGAUGACGUCAAGUCCUCAUGGCCCUUACAUCCCGGGCUACACACGUGCUACAAUGGCAGGUACAGAGGGCUGCGAAGCCGCGAGGUGGAGCGAAUCCCAGAAAACCUGUCUCAGUCCGGAUUGAAGUCUGCAACUCGACUUCAUGAAGGCGGAAUCGCUAGUAACCGCGAAUCAGCAGGUCGCGGUGAAUACGUUCCCGGGCCUU
rnacentral:rRNA from 1 species